rnacentral:lncRNA from 1 species
UUUGUUGAAGUCAAGGUGCCGUCUUCAGCAUUUUCCCAGCUUUUCGUCCUCGCGCAGGAAGCAUAUCCGGUUAUUUAAAGUCCAGCUCGUUUGAGGAGAGGUUCCGACAGCGGUGGUCCAGCAGAGUUUACACCUGCACCGGCAGUUUGGAGGAAACGUGAAGGUAGCGCGGAUGGUCAGGUCAAACGGACUACAAAGGCCAAGAGCGCACAGCAGGAACCGUUUCUGCAGUCCUGAAGAGAAUUACCGCCCUGAACAGAGUAUUCAGGUACGUAUUACAUUAAAUCCACUUUUAUUUAUUUUUAUUUAUUUAUUUUUCGAAAUACUACUCUCCAUCUGAAAUAAUUGGCAUAACUAAAUAAGUAACUUAAAAAAUUAAAAUGUGUUUAAUAUUUUCGUAUAGGGUAGAGUGGGGUUAGUUGCGCCAACCCCUGUUGCUUGGAAAUGAUAAAAGAAAUUGAUCAUGUGGCCAAAUAUUUAUGAGAUGGGCAUCAAUUCAUGGACUCUGUGAAGGUUAGAAGUAAUGGAUGAAGUGGUUAGACAUUCAUUUACAAAAAAUCAUAUUCAAUCACAUUAACUACAACUAAGUUGAUCAGAAGUAUCCAAAAGAUGUUAUAUUGCCAUGUAUAUUUUUUACCUUAAAAAGCAGCACAGCAGAGUAGCAAAUUUCUGUAUUUUAGAUCAACAGCCCUGUGUGCAAGUGUCAAAGCUAUUUCCACUUGCCAUAUGGUCGUCAUUUUCACUCCCCUGGUGAAAUAGGAGAUGAAUUUGCACCUACUUUCAUGUCCAUAGGUGUUCUAAAUUUCCCCCCUGCUAAAGUUUGUUUCCAACAGUUUCCAACAGCUGAGUCCAAAUAAAUCUCUUGCAGUAUUUUCUGUUUUCUAAGCUAGAAACUACCUGACUGUGGGCGCCUCCAAGAAUCUCCUCAAACAGGUUUUCAGUUGUUAAUAAAGUGAACUUAUUCAGCUCUGGAAUAAAAACACAAAAAGUAACACUCACAGAUAAAUGUCAUAUUUCAACAUUCUGAUGCAACUCCUGUCUCCUAACAACUUUUAGGAGGGUGCUACAUUGAGAAUAAGAUAUUUUUAGACACAAGGUGGCAAUAGCAUAACCGAACUGAAACAAAACAAGCCUGAAAAUAAAUUGUGCACGUAGCUUAAAUUUUGGCAUAAUAAUUAAAGUUGUACGAAGGAAAAAAAGAAGAUAAAGCUAACUGAAGAAAAUGUGCAUUUCAAGGUGGGUAAUUGGGUAAAUCAAGCAGAGGGUGUAGUUGAACCCUGAUGUGAGCGAUCAAGCCUGCAUAAUGGGAUGAGAACCCUGGUGCCUCUCUUAAUUCACUUGGUGAGUGGCCUAGUAGUUAGCAUUGUCGCCCCCCAGCAAGAGGAUUCAGGCUUCCACAACAGGCCUGGCCUUUCAAUCUAUAGACCAACAGUGACCUGACAGUCUCCCACUGGAAUGUGUUCAACCUGAUUUUGAACCACGAAAGUGCUCUUGAAAGUUAAUAAACCUUAAUAAACAAGUGUUUGAGGUGAGCUAUAAGAACUUCUGCCUCUCAAGAUGGUUUAGGGUUCAAGACAAGGCCAGGGCUUUGUUAUUUGUGGCUUAAGUGUUCUGGGCUCCUCUCACAGGACUGUGGGCCAUGAUUUUUUAGCUAUGAGAAUGUACUUGAAAGUCGAAUCUUAAACAGGUAAGAGCUUGGGCUCUAAUUUUAGCACAGUUGGUUGAAGAGAGGCUAUAGAUUAACUGUAUUAAAAAUGUACACAAAGCAAAAAGACAACACCAAAUACCCUUCCUUGGCCAAAGCGAGAUUUUGUCUGCUUUAUCAGAUGCACCAGCAUGCUGGUUCUUCCCCUGUGUGAAUAUGUAGUGUUCCAGGUCUUAUGACUGGUAUGUUGAGGGCUAUAGAGCAGCAUUUUGGUUAAAGUUUGUAUGUGGCUCCUCAGACCGCUGUGUAUUGCUAUCGUGCGGUCAUUACGUAAGUUGGUAUAACUAGAGAAGCAAGCAGUUGGCAACAUUCAUCUCUCGAGGGGGUGUAUUACUUGGUGUUAUGGUGUGUUUGAGACUUAUUUAAUUUUACGCCGGAAUAUCCCUUUAGGACUACUGUCUCAUAAGGAACAGAGAGUUAAUUAGAAGCUGGUGCUGGCUGACCAGGCUGAGAGGAAUAAGAGGAAAAUGCAGCAGGAGCCUGCUGACAACAAGAGCAGAAGAAACAAUCUUAUUACUCUAGAGAUAAGUCAGAUAUCAUUUUAUAAAGACUAGCAGGUUGAAAUGUGGUGUUUUAAUAACUUUCUUGUUGCACUGAGUUAGUGUGCAGGCUUACCCUCUUUUCUUACUGAUGGUUUUAUUUGCCUUGUGCACAUAACCUUUUGUUAUUCACAGUUCUUGAUAAACACAUCAAAAACAUAUGUCUAACAUUUAUGAUUUCAGAAGACAAGGUGAUGCUGCAUUAUGGAAAUCAUUGCAUUCUUACCACACCAUAAAAUCCUGUGAGUUAAUGGACAUCACAUUAUUGUGCUCAAUUCACAGUCCCUAUUUUACUUGUAAGGAGUAACUUUUGCCACAUUAGACCCCACAUGAACUUUAAAUUGAGUUAAAUAUGAGUUUUUUUAAUGGUUCUGUGACUUGACCUAGAUCACUUGCACUAUUUUUAUAGGCUUCAUGCUAACGAAACUAUAGAGAUGAUCUUCCAGCCUAGAUCUCCAGGGAAAUCAGGUGGUGUUCUGUCCAAAAAGCCAGGACUCAGGACGCGCCUGGAAGCAGUCAGAGAGGCAUGAAAUCCUAAUGUUACCGUUCUUGUUACAGUGAGCAGACCAGGUCCAGCGGUCAUCCCUGCCUUACAAAGAUUAAUGGCUCGACUCACAGGUUGGGUUCCCAUUACGUAGUCUGUCCAUCGCCACCUCGUUAUGGACACAUCCUUCACUGUCAGGCAGCAAAAGAAGGAAGUCAAGUGGUCGUAUCCCUGCAAAUGUUGCUCACAAAAACCUGAUAUGCUCUGUAUGGCACAUGGCUAAGACCAGUAAAUCCUCGCCCCUGAGUGCGGUAUUCACACAGUCAAAACACUGCAUGUACCUUUUCAAAUUUAGGGAUUGGUACAGUUGGCUGUUUAUUGAGGACACUUCCUGCAUGAAUGGAAAUCUGUUUUUUUCUCUAUUUGAAGUCCAAAUUUUUUUCUACUUUUACUGUAUACUUGCAGAAAAAGCUGUUAUACCAAGUCAAUUUGCAUACAGCAUUCCCCACUCUCUUGUUUGUUCUUUUUGUACGAACUGUAAAGCUUCCUACAGGGAAUAAAUUCCACAACAAUCAAUCCCAAAACUUCAAAGCUAAAGCACAAGGAUGAUCAAUAUUGGGC